rnacentral:misc_RNA from 1 species
AAAAAAAAAAGAAGAAGAAAAUUACAUGUUGAAAUAUAGAAACGAAUCACUACACCAGAGAACUAAUAAAAAAAGAACCUUGCUGCAGCAUAUUAGGAUUCAGAACUUGUUUCAGCAACCUAAAGAUAUUACACCUAAAAGCAGUCAAGUUGCAAAAAGCAACUGCUUUGUGUUAAAGUACCAGAUGCUGGUAGUAGCACCCUAAUGUUUACCACUAUAUCUAUCCAACGAGGACAGCUUACUCUUAUUGAAAACACUUUCUAUGCUCCUUGUAUACUUCACAUCACUCUCCCAGCCCUUAUCUAAUGGAGAAAAAAAAAAAGUUAUUCAGAAAAAGAUUCCUUGAGCUGAUAUGGAAGAGAAGUUGUAGCAUCAUACUAGGUAAGACUUUAGAUGGUUUCACUUCACAUGGUUGACAAAUAGUUUUUUGUCCAAAGAUAAGGGUUUCUUCAGAUUGGAGGUGAUUUGAAAGGGAUGUGAGUUCCAACUAAUAAAUUGCAGCUUUAUAAACCACAAUCAAAGAACACCCAUUAUCAAUAUCGAUUGGAAUUUGGAAACCCCCUAUCAAUUUCAUUUAAGCCAAAAAAAAAAUUGAAAUACUUGAGUACAAAAAUUGACAUAAAUCCGGCUUAUUCAAAAGAACCGUUCAAAACCCAAGAUCUUUCCAACAACCAAAACCUGUUAUUCGAGGCAACAGUGAACCCGAGUGGUAUAUACACAAUGGUAAAGAGA